rnacentral:rRNA from 1 species
CCUACGGGUGGCUGCAGUCGAGAAUCAUUCACAAUGGGGGAAACCCUGAUGGUGCGACGCCGCGUGGGGGAAUGAAGGUCUUCGGAUUGUAAACCCCUGUCAUGUGGGAGCAAAUUAAAAAGAUAGUACCACAAGAGGAAGAGACGGCUAACUCUGUGCCAGCAGCCGCGGUAAUACAGAGGUCUCAAGCGUUGUUCGGAAUCACUGGGCGUAAAGCGUGCGUAGACUGUUUCGUAAGUCGUGAGUGAAAGGCGCGGGCUCAACCCGCGGACGGCACAUGAUACUGCGCGGCUAGAGGAAUGGAGAGGGAAGUGGAAUUCCCGGUGUAGCGGUGAAAUGCGUAGAUAUUAGGAGGAACACUCGUGGCGAAGGCGGGUUACUGGACUGUAACUGACGCUGAGGCACGAAGGCGAGGGGAGCGAAAGGGAUUAGAUACCCGAGUAGUC